UACGGGGGGGACAAGCGUUAUUCUUAAGGAUUGGGCGUAAAGGGCACGUAGGCGGAUAAAAUAAUUUUAAGUAAAAAUCCCUGAGCUCAACUUGGGCAGUGCUUAAAAAAUUAAUUAUCUAGGGUUACUUAGAAGAUAGUGGUACUCUUAAUUCAGAGGUGAAAUUCGAUGAGAUUAACGAGGACCCUCACUAGGCGAUAGCGACUAUCUAUAUUUAACUAACGCUGAGGUGCGAAAGCAUGGGGAGCAAACAGG
rnacentral:rRNA from 1 species